GUAACUUCAUAGCUCAGUGGUAGAGCAUUUGCACCAGAAUCACACUUGUCAUGGGUUCGAAUCCCAUCAGAGCCU